rnacentral:rRNA from 1 species
GACGAACGCUGGCGGCGUGCUUAACACAUGCAAGUCGAACGGUAAGGCCCUUCGGGGUACACGAGUGGCGAACGGGUGAGUAACACGUGGGUGAUCUGCCCUGCACUUCGGGAUAAGCCUGGGAAACUGGGUCUAAUACCGGAUAGGACUCCGGACUGCAUGGUCUGGGGUGGAAAGCUUUUGCGGUGUGGGAUGGGCCCGCGGCCUAUCAGCUUGUUGGUGGGGUGAUGGCCUACCAAGGCGACGACGGGUAGCCGGCCUGAGAGGGUGACCGGCCACACUGGGACUGAGAGACUGCCCAGACUCCUACGGGAGGCAGCAGUGGGGAAUAUUGCACAAUGGGCGCAAGCCUGAUGCAGCGACGCCGCGUGAGGGAUGACGGCCUUCGGGUUGUAAACCUCUUUCAGCAUCGACGAAGCGAAAGUGACGGUAGGUGCAGAAGAAGGACCGGCCAACUACGUGCCAGCCGCCGCGGUAA